GCCUGGCUGGCUCAGUGAGGAGAGCAUCUGACUCUUGAUCUCAGGGUUGUGGAGUUCAAGCCCCACACUGGGCA
rnacentral:tRNA from 1 species